UACGUAGGGUGCGAGCGUUGUCCGGAAUCAUUGGGCGUAAAGGGCGCGUAGGCGGCUUUGUAAGUCCGUUGUGAAAUCCCUCGGCUCAACCGAGGAACUGCGACGGAUACUGCUUGGCUUGAGUCCCGGAGAGGGUAGCGGAAUUCCCAGUGUAGCGGUGAAAUGCGUAGAUAUUGGGAGGAACAUCGGUGGCGAAGGCGGCUACCUGGACGGGUACUGACGCUGAUGCGCGAAAGCUAGGGGAGCAAACAGG
rnacentral:rRNA from 1 species